rnacentral:rRNA from 1 species
CCUAACCGUGCAAAGGUAGCAUAAUCAUUUGUCUACUAAUUAUAGACCUGUAUGAAAGGCAAAAUGAGGGUCCAACUGUCUCUUAUAGUAAAUCUAUUAAACUGAUCUUCUAGUAAAAAAGCUAGAAUUAAACCAUAAGACCAGAAGACCCUGUGAAGCUUAAAUUAAACUAUUAAACCAAAUAAUAACUAAUUUUGGUUGGGGCGACCUUGGAAAAAAUAAGAACUUCCAAACAACAUGACACAGUCAUAAACCUAGGCCAACAAGCCAAAUUACGACCCAGCAUAGCUGAUAAUUGAAACAAGUUACUCCAGGGAUAACAGCGCAAUCUUCUUCAAGAGCCCAUAUCAAAAAGAAGGUUUACGACCUCGAUGUUGGAUCAGGACAUCCUAAUGGUGCAGAAGCUAUUAAGGGUUCGUUUGUUCAACGAUUAACAGUCCUACGUGAUCUGA